rnacentral:rRNA from 1 species
GAGUGGCGAACGGGUGAGGAACACGUAAGAAUCUGCCCCUCGGUCGGGGACAACUCUUGGAAACGAGAGCUAAUACCCGAUACGCUGUGGAGUGAAAGAAUUUCGCCGAGGGAUGAUCUUGCGUCUGAUUAGCUAGUUGGUGUGGUAACUGCACACCAAGGCGACGAUCAGUAGCUGGUCUGAGAGGAUGGACAGCCACAUUGGAACUGAGACACGGUCCAAACUCCUACGGGAGGCAGCAGUGGGGAAUUUUCCGCAAUGGACGAAAGUCUGACGGAGCGACGCUGCGUGAAGGAUGACGGCCCGCGGGUUGUAAACUUCUUUUCUCGAAGAAGAAACAAAUGACGGUAUUCGAGGAAUAAGCAUCGGCUAACUCCGUGCCAGCAGCCGCGGUAAGACGGAGGAUGCAAGUGUUAUUCGGAAUGAUUGGGCGUAAAGAGUCUGUAGGCUGUAUAGAAAGUCUUUUGUUAAAUUCCUCGGCUCAACCGA